GUAAAGUUGUUUCAACCCUUGGAGAAGCCACAAAAAAACUGACACAGGUCAAGCAACAAGUGGCCUUCGCAAGCUUUGGCCAAGAGAGCCAAAUUGUAAUUAUAAUCUUAAUGGGGCAGUCGGAAAACACAACUAACUACUAAAGUUUGCUUUGAUGUUGAUACAACCGCAAUUCAAUCAGCGUCCGAGACUUUCCUUGUGGCUUGCGAAAGAAAACUAAAGCCGGCCAUCCAUUGAAAACGAUGCUUCCAACUGGGAA
rnacentral:lncRNA from 1 species